AGUGAGAUGCCUGACUAAAGGGCCAUUUUGAUAGAAUGGAUCAUGUAAUCAAACUACUCUCACUA
rnacentral:tRNA from 1 species